AGCGGCGGAUGGGUGAGUAACACGUGGGGAACCUGCCCCUAAGUCUGGGAUACCAUUUGGAAACAGGUGCUAAUACCGGAUAAUAAAGCAGAUCGCACGAUCAGCUUUUGAAAGGCGGCGUAAGCUGUCGCUAAGGGAUGGCUCCGCGGUGCAUUAGCUAGUUGGUAAGGUAACGGCUUACCAAGGCGACGAUGCAUAGCCGAGUUGAGAGACUGAUCGGCCACAUUGGGACAGAGACACGGCCCAAACUCCUACGGGAGGCAGCAGUAGGGAAUCUUCCACAAUGGACGCAAGUCUGAUGGAGCAACGCCGCGUGAGUGAAGAAGGUUUUCGGAUCGUAAAGCUCUGUUGUUGGUGAAGAAGGAUAGAGGUAGUAACUGGCCUUUAUUUGACGGUAAUCAACCAGAAAGUCACGGUUAACUACGUGCCAGCAGCCGCGGUAAUACGUAGGUGGCAAGCGUUGUCCGGAUUUAUUGGGCGUAAAGCGAGCGCAGGCGGAGAAAUAAGUCUAAUGUGAAAGCCCUCGGCUUAACCGAGGAACUGCAUCGGAAACUGUUUUUCUUGAGUGCAGAAGAGGAGAGUGGAACUCCAUGUGUAGCGGUGGAAUGCGUAGAUAUAUGGAAGAACACCAGUGGCGAAAGGCGGCUCUCUGGUCUGCAACUGACGCUGAGGCUCGAAAGCAUGGGUAGCGAACAGGAUUAGAUACCCUGGGUAGUCCAUGCCGUAAACGAUGAGUGCUAAGUGU
rnacentral:rRNA from 1 species